rnacentral:rRNA from 1 species
CCUACGGGAGGCAGCAGUGGGGAAUAUUGGACAAUGGGCGAAAGCCUGAUCCAGCCAUGCCGCGUGUGUGAAGAAGGCCUUCGGGUUGUAAAGCACUUUCAGUGGGGAAGAAAGCCUUGGGGCUAAUACCCUCGAGGAAGGACAUCACCCACAGAAGAAGCACCGGCUAACUCCGUGCCAGCAGCCGCGGUAAUACGGAGGGUGCGAGCGUUAAUCGGAAUUACUGGGCGUAAAGGGCGCGUAGGCGGUCUGAUAAGCCGGUUGUGAAAGCCCCGGGCUCAACCUGGGAACGGCAUCCGGAACUGUCAGGCUAGAGUGCAGGAGAGGAAGGUAGAAUUCCCGGUGUAGCGGUGAAAUGCGUAGAGAUCGGGAGGAAUACCAGUGGCGAAGGCGGCCUUCUGGACUGACACUGACGCUGAGGUGCGAAAGCGUGGGUAGCAAACAGGAUUAGAUACCCUUGUAGUC